UGUAUUAUAAAUAGGGCUCAUUGUAUCAUGUUUAACAUCAAGUUAUAUUUUCUCCCGUGCUUUCUCACAUGGUAUCAGAGCUGAGCAACAGUGGCUACUUGUGGAGACGUCUGCUUACUUGCUCGAUAUUUAAGGAACUCAUUAUACUCCCUUUCAGAUACAGAAAAUCACUGGUUACCUGUAGGCUCGGUCUGAGCAACAUAAGUAUUUUUUUGUUGGUCGACCAUGUAAAGAAUGGCACACGUCACGAGUGUGACCAAGUUUAUAACAAUAAGAACACUUGGGUCUAGAUCUUCCAAAACGACCUNNNN
rnacentral:lncRNA from 1 species